GAGAGGCUAGCAAGCAAGACAUCGACUGCUAAUCUGUCAACCCUCGGUUGGACUCCGAGGCUCAUUCU
rnacentral:tRNA from 1 species